GCGGGGUGAUGAGAGAAUUCAUACACACCCGAUCGUCCCGCCCUGGAGGCGGUGUACGGCUGAGGGCAGUCUUCAAAGUUCUCUGACCGC
rnacentral:snoRNA from 1 species